rnacentral:rRNA from 1 species
AGUGAACGCUGGCGGUAGGCCUAACACAUGCAAGUCGAACGGCAGCACAGGAGAGCUUGCUCUCUGGGUGGCGAGUGGCGGACGGGUGAGGAAUACAUCGGAAUCUACCUUUUCGUGGGGGAUAACGUAGGGAAACUUACGCUAAUACCGCAUACGACCUACGGGUGAAAGUGGGGGACCGCAAGGCCUCACGCGAUUAGAUGAGCCGAUGUCCGAUUAGCUAGUUGGCGGGGUAAUGGCCCACCAAGGCGACGAUCGGUAGCUGGUCUGAGAGGAUGAUCAGCCACACUGGAACUGAGACACGGUCCAGACUCCUACGGGAGGCAGCAGUGGGGAAUAUUGGACAAUGGGCGCAAGCCUGAUCCAGCCAUACCGCGUGGGUGAAGAAGGCCUUCGGGUUGUAAAGCCCUUUUGUUGGAAAGAAAUCCUGUCGAUUAAUACUCGGUGGGGAUGACGGUACCCAAAGAAUAAGCACCGGCUAACUUCGUGCCAGCCGCCACAGUAAAAC